AGAGCGAACGCUGGCGGCAGGCCUAAUACAUGCAAGUCGAACGGAUCCUUCGGGAUUAGUGGCGGACGGGUGAGUAACACGUGGGAACGUGCCCUUUGGUUCGGAACAACUCAGGGAAACUUGAGCUAAUACCGAAUGUGCCCUUCGGGGAAAGAUUUAUCGCCAUUGGAGCGGCCCGCGUCUGAUUAGCUAGUUGGUGAGGUAAAGGCUCACCAAGGCUACGAUCAGUAGCUGGUCUGAGAGGAUGAUCAGCCACACUGGGACUGAGACACGGCCCAGACUCCUACGGGAGGCAGCAGUAGGGAAUCUUGCGCAAUGGGCGAAAGCCUGACGCAGCCAUGCCGCGUGAAUGAUGAAGGUCUUAGGAUUGUAAAAUUCUUUCAGCGGGGACGAUAAUGACGGUACCCGCAGAAGAAGCCCCGGCUAACUUCGUGCCAGCAGCCGC
rnacentral:rRNA from 1 species